AGCACGAGUCGCCUUCACUGGCACCAGGGGUAGGGAAACCACACACUUAUUUCCCCCCGAGUCAUAUUAUUAUCUCCCAAGAAUCCAGCACUCUAGGGAAGGAAAACAGGUAUUUAAACUUCCGAGAGGUAGCAAUUCUUGGGAAAGAAGGGGAGAGAGAAGAAGGAAAAUCUUUCAAGCAGGAUGCGGGUGGGGGGCAGUAAGAAGCUGGGAACGAUCACCGAUCACCGUGCUAAGAGGUUUGCAGAGCUGAUGCAUCUAAUGAUCUGGAAGAAAAGGCAGAUGAGAGCGCAGAGCAAGACCAAGACAGAUGGUGCUGAGAGCUGUGAAUAAAAUGAACAGGCUGAAGGGUGGAGGGUCAUUUGGAGAGGGGUAAGGAAAGCUUCUUGGACUGCAAGGAGAUCAAUCUUAAAGGAAAUCAAUCUUGAAUAUUCAUCAGAAGGAUUGAUGAUGAAGCUGAAGCUCCAAUACUUUGGCCACCUGAUGUGAAGAGCCUACUCACUGAAAAUCCAAGACCCUGAUGCUGGGAAAGGCUGCAGGCAAAAGGAGAAGGGGGCAGCAGAGGAUGAUAUGAUCAGAUAGCAUCACUGAGUCAGUGGACAUGAAUUUGAGCAAACUCCAGGAGACAGUGAAAGACAGAGGAGCUUAGUGUGCUAUA
ensembl:lncRNA